UACGUAGGGUGCGAGCGUUAAUCGGAAUUACUGGGCGUAAAGAGUGCGUAGGCGGUUCUUUGUGUCCGCUGUGAAAGCCCCGGGCUUAACCUGGGAAUGGCAGUGGAAACUAGAGAACUCGAAUCUGGCAGAGGGGGGUGGAAUUCCGCGUGUAGCAGUGAAAUGCGUAGAGAUGCGGAGGAACACCGAUGGCGAAGGCAGCCCCCUGGGCCAAUACUGACGCUCAGGCACGAAAGCGUGGGGAGCAAACAGG
rnacentral:rRNA from 1 species